rnacentral:rRNA from 1 species
UAGAUGCGAGAGUAGAGCAUAUCAAUAAGCGGAGGAAAAGAAACUAACAAGGAUUCCCUUAGUAACGGCGAGUGAAGCGGGAAGAGCUCAAAUUUGAAAUCUUCAAGGUUCUACCUUGACGAAUUGUAGUUUAAAGAAGUGUUUUCUGUUAGAUGAGUAGCAAAAGUUCCUUGGAAUGGGACAUCAUAGAGGGUGAGAAUCCCGUAUUUGGUUAUUCAUUCUAGCUUUGAUGAUACACUUUCAAAGAGUCGGAUUGUUUGGGAAUGCAGUCCAAAAUGGGUGGUAAAUUUCAUCUAAAGCUAAAUAUUGGCGAGAGACCGAUAGCGAACAAGUACCGUGAGGGAAAGAUGAAAAGAACUUUGAAAAGAGAGUUAAACAGUACGUGAAAUUGUCAAAAGGGAAGCGUUUGACACCAGUGUUGUUUUUCCGAAAAUCAAUUACGAAUGGCUUGAUUUUGUGUUGUAUUGACCUUAUCAGCUUUCUUCACUUUUUUCGAGUCUUUCUUAAUGCACUUUUCGGUUAACAAGUCAACAUCAAUUUCUUUUGUUGUAAAAGAGUAUUCGGAAGGUGGCUUUCUUUUCGGAGAAAGUGUUUAUAGCCCUAUACUUCUACAAUCGGAGAGAUUGAGGUCUGCAGCGUAGAUCCUUCGGGGUUAGAUACAUUUGUGCUAAGUUGUAGCUUUUCAUAGACAACUUGUUGACUAUGUUUAGUCAUGCGGCUUACUCGCUUAGUGCUAUUUUACCUACGCUUAGGAUGUUGAGCGCAUGUCUCUCUCU